GAUUAACGCUGGCGGCGUGCCUAACACAUGCAAGUCGAACGAUGAAACUCAUUAGAUUUCUUCGGAAUGAAAAUGAAUGGAUUAGUGGCGAACGGGUGAGUAACGCGUGAGUAACCUGCCUUACACAAGGGGAUAGCCUCUGGAAACGGAGAAUAAUACCCUAUGAAACCAGACAAUCGCAUGAUAAUCUGGUCAAAAUGUUUAGUGGUGUAAGAUGGACUUGCGUCUGAUUAGCUAGUUGGUGAGAUAAAAGCUCACCAAGGCAACGAUCAGUAGCCGGCUUGAGAGAGUGUACGGCCACAUUGGGACUGAGACACGGCCCAGACUCCGACGGGAGGCAGCAGUGGGGAAUUUUGCACAAUGGGGGAAACCCUGAUGCAGCGACGCCGCGUGAUUGAGAAGGCCUUCGGGUUGUAAAAAUCUUUUGUAUAGGAAGAAAAUGACAGUACUAUACGAAUAAGGUCCGGCUAAGUACGUG
rnacentral:rRNA from 1 species